rnacentral:tRNA from 1 species
GCUCCCUUAGUUUAACGGAUAGAAUUACGGAUUCCGGUUCCGUAGGUAUAGGUUCGAUUCCUAUAGGGAGUACCA